GUUUAAUUUCUGGCACCAUCUGGGUACUGUUGUUGCCACCUGGAAUCAUGUUCCUUGUGUUGAGAGAAACCUUGCUCUUCCAGGCCUCAUAAGAACUUUCAAGAUGAUGGGCAACUAUGCAUUGACCUUUGUUGCCAUAGGAGGAGUCUACAUUGGUGUUAAGCAGUUGGUGCAGAACGCUAGGAUGAAGAGGGAUCUUGUCAAUGGUGCUGUAGGUGUGCAACUGUUCUGGGUUACAAAGAACUCAAUGAUGCUUUGAUGGCUUUCCCCUGUAAUCUAAUUAGAUGUGAUAGUGAAGUAUAAUAUAAGGAAAUCCAGUUCCUUUGUAUGUGAAUGUUGUGUGUGCGUGCCCCCACCAACAAAAUCCUCCUCCUCCUCCUUUUCAAGUUGCUUGUGUGUAUUCGUGAGUUUUCAUAUUUGUUUCUUUAUGAUUUGUGUUUGGGUCCGAUGUGUUUUUAUUCAUAUCCUUAAUGUCAAUUCUGAAAUCACAGAAGCUUAAAGUGACAU